rnacentral:rRNA from 1 species
GAUGAACGCUAGCGGCAGGCUUAAUACAUGCAAGUCGAGGGGCAGCACAGAUAGCAAUAUUGGGUGGCGACCGGCAAACGGGUGCGGAACACGUACACAACCUUCCUUUUGGUGGGGGAUAGCCUUUGGAAACGGAGAUUAAUACCCCAUAAGAUAUUGGGACCGCAUGGUUUUGAUAUUAAAGAUUUAUUGCCAGAGGAUGGGUGUGCGUAUGAUUAGGUAGUUGGUGAGGUAAAGGCUCACCAAGCCGACGAUCAUUAACUGGUGUGAGAGCACGACCAGUCACACGGGCACUGAGAAACGGGCCCGACUCCUACGGGAGGAAGCAGUAAGGAAUAUUGGUCAAUGGACGGAAGUCUGAACCAGCCAUGCCGCGUGGAGGAUGAAGGUCCUCUGGAUUGUAAACUUCUUUUAUAUGGGGCGAAAAAGGGCCAUUCUUGGUCAACUGACGGUACCAUAUGAAUAAGCACCGGCUAACUCCGUGCCAGCCGCCGCAGUAAAAC